rnacentral:rRNA from 1 species
UGAACGCUGGCGGCGUGCUUAACACAUGCAAGUCGAGCGAAGCACUUAAGUGGAUCUCUUCGGAUUGAAACUUAUUUGACUGAGCGGCGGACGGGUGAGUAACGCGUGGGUAACCUGCCUCAUACAGGGGGAUAACAGUUAGAAAUGGCUGCUAAUACCGCAUAAGCGCACAGGACCGCAUGGUCUGGUGUGAAAAACUCCGGUGGUAUGAGAUGGACCCGCGUCUGAUUAGCUAGUUGGAGGGGUAACGGCCCACCAAGGCGACGAUCAGUAGCCGGCCUGAGAGGGUGAACGGCCACAUUGGGACUGAGACACGGCCCAGACUCCUACGGGAGGCAGCAGUGGGGAAUAUUGCACAAUGGGGGAAACCCUGAUGCAGCGACGCCGCGUGAAGGAAGAAGUAUCUCGGUAUGUAAACUUCUAUCAGCAGGGAAGAAAAUGACGGUACCUGACUAAGAAGCCCCGGCUAACUACGUGCCAGCAGCCGCGGUAAUACGUAGGGGGCAAGCGUUAUCCGGAUUUACUGGGUGUAAAGGGAGCGUAGACGGAAGAGCAAGUCUGAUGUGAAAGGCUGGGGCUUAACCCCAGGACUGCAUUGGAAACUGUUUUUCUAGAGUGCCGGAGAGGUAAGCGGAAUUCCUAGUGUAGCGGUGAAAUGCGUAGAUAUUAGGAGGAACACCAGUGGCGAAGGCGG